GAAAGAAUUUCGGUGGAGGAUGACUUCGCGGCCUAUCAGCUAGUUGGUGAGGUAAUGGCUCACCAAGGCAACGACGGGUAGCCGGCCUGAGAGGGCGACCGGCCACACUGGGACUGAGACACGGCCCAGACUCCUACGGGAGGCAGCAGUGGGGAAUAUUGGGCAAUGGAGGAAACUCUGACCCAGCGACGCCGCGUGCGGGAUGAAGGCCUUCGGGUUGUAAACCGCUUUCAGUAGGGAAGAAGCGAAAGUGACGGUACCUACAAAAGAAGCACCGGCUAACUAUGUGCCAGCAGCCGCGGUAAUACAUAGGGUGCAAGCGUUGUCCGGAAUUAUUGGGCGUAAAGAGCUCGUAGGUCGUUUGUUACGUCGGAUGUGAAAACCUGAGGCUCAACCUCAGGCCUGCAUUCGAUACGGGCAAACUAGAGUUUGGUAGGGGAGACUGGAAUUCCUGGUGUAGCGGUGGAAUGCGCAGAUAUCAGGAGGAACACCAAUGGCGAAGGCAGGUCUCUGGGCCAAUACUGACUCUGAGGAGCGAAAGUCUGGGGAGCGAACAGGAUUAGAUACCCUGGUAGUCCAGACCGUAAACGGUGGGCACUAGUUGUGGGAACCUUCCACGGUUUCUGCGACGCAGCUAACGCAUUAAGUGCCCCGCCUGGGGAGUACGAUCGCAAGAUUAAAACUCAAAGGAAUUGACGGGGCCCCGCACAAGCAGCGGAGCAUGCGGCUUAAUUCGACGCAAC
rnacentral:rRNA from 1 species